rnacentral:rRNA from 1 species
UACGGGGGAGCAAGCGUUGUUCGGAUUUACUGGGCGUAAAGGGCGCGUAGGCGGCCACCGCAAGUCGACUGUGAAAUCUCCGGGCUUAACCCGGAAAGGUCAGCCGAUACUGCGGGGCUAGAGUGCAGAAGGGGCAACUGGAAUUCUCGGUGUAGCGGUGAAAUGCGUAGAUAUCGAGAGGAACACCUGCGGCGAAGGCGGGUUGCUGGGCUGACACUGACGCUGAUGCGCGAAAGCUAGGGGAGCGAACGGG